ACAGAAUAAAUAAGGACCAUGUGAAGCAGGUCCUUCAAUAACAAACCAAGCAUGAGUUGACCAACACUUACAGCAGGUUACUUCGUCCAUCUACUGGUUGUAACAGAUGAUGGUGAAGGUUGAGGAGAUAAUGACUUGAUCAGAAACUGUGGCCGACAACUGCAAACGCGCAGCAAACAGCAAAACGAGCUGCAAACAGACUCAUGAAGAGGACGGUCAGAGUCGUCCAUAGCUUUCUUGACUCUUAUGAAGAAUCUUUCUUUGCGUCAUCUCCAGAGGUUCCACAGUCAUCUCCAGAACAGAACCAGAACCAAUCCAGCCUUCUUUAUCAGAUUGUUGAGCCUUUUGAGGUUCCUGGCUCUGAUGCUGCUGCAACAACAGAUGAUAGCAGAAGAGAUGACACUCUCAGCAGCAGACUUAAAGAUCUGCAGCAACUUGCUGCAAACCUUGAAGGAUCUUAGCUUCCUGGAGAAGUGCAGUCUGCUCUGUCUCUUUUUGUAGACGGCUUGUCCAUGUGGUUCCUGCCUUCUGUUGCGUCUCCAGUCCAGUCUGUGUUCCAGAUGAACACCGAGUCAAGAUUAGAUGAUUGUUCCCUCACCAGGCCACAAAGUGAUCCACCAGAUCUCUGUACUCAGCCUCUUGUCUUCCUCUGAUACACAACAACUGCAGAGUCGUCUGAGUAUUUCUGUAGAUGACAGAAGUCGGACUUGUGCUGGAAGUCUGAACAGUAGAGGGUGAAAAUGAAUGGUGAGAGUACAGUGCCCUGUGGUGUUCCCAUGUUGUUGACCACCUGGUUAGACACACAGUCCUUCAGUCUCACUAACUGUGGUCUGUUUGUCAGGUUGUCACAGAUGCAGGUGAU